rnacentral:lncRNA from 1 species
CUUAGAUUAGAGCCCCUGCCCCUCUAGGAGGUCACCUUCACUGCUUCUUACAUGUUGUGAUUCUGUUUCUGCCUCCUGGGGACUCAGCAAGCAGGCAAGUCUGAGCUCCUUCUUUAGACCUGAGGAAUUUACUCUGAAGCUCUGAUCCACAUCCUCGGUCAGGAAGUCUGCAAGCUCUAAGGAUUAUCUUUGGUUAAUCCCUGGCCCUCGAAAGCUGAGAGGCUAGUUCCAGUUGGUAAGAGUUGAUCUUAAAUUCAAC